rnacentral:rRNA from 1 species
AAGUCGUAACAAGGUUUCCGUAGGUGAACCUGCGGAAGGAUCAUUACAGAGUUCAUGCCCUCACGGGUAGAUCUCCCACCCUUGAAUAUUAUACCUUAGUUGCUUUGGCAGGCCGGGGCAACCCCCGGGGCUUCGGCCUCGGUGCGCCUGCCAGAGGAAACAAACUCUGUUUUUAGUGAUGUCUGAGUACUAUAUAAUAGUUAAAACUUUCAACAACGGAUCUCUUGGUUCUGGCAUCGAUGAAGAACGCAGCGAAAUGCGAUAAGUAAUGUGAAUUGCAGAAUUCAGUGAAUCAUCGAAUCUUUGAACGCACAUUGCGCCCCGUGGUAUUCCGCGGGGCAUGCCUGUUCGAGCGUCAUUUCAACCCAUCAAGCUUCGGCUUGGUCUUGGGGCCUGCGAUUCCGCAGCCUCUAAACCCAGUGGCGGUGCCUCCGAGCUCUGAGCGUAGUAAUUCUUCUCGCUAUAGGGUCUCGGUGGUGUCUUGCCAGUAACCCCCAAUUUUUUACAGGUUGACCUCGGAUCAGGUAGGGAUACCCGCUGAACUUAAGCAUAUCAAUAAGCGGAGGAAAAGAAACCAACAGGGAUUACCUCAGUAACGGCGAGUGAAGCGGUAACAGCUCAAAUUUGAAAUCUGCCGCAAGGCCGAGUUGUAAUUUGUAGAAGAUGCUUUGGGUAUGGCCCCGGUCUAAGUUCGUUGGAACACGACGUCAUAGAGGGUGAGAAUCCCGUAUGUGACUGGGUGCUUUUGCCUAUGUAAAGCUCUUUCGACGAGUCGAGUUGUUUGGGAAUGCAGCUCAAAAUGGGUGGUAUAUUUCAUCUAAAGCUAAAUAUUGGCCAGAGACCGAUAGCGCACAAGUAGAGUGAUCGAAAGAUGAAAAGCACUUUGGAAAGAGAGUUAAACAGUACGUGAAAUUGUUGAAAGGGAAGCGCUUGCAACCAGACUUGCACGCUGUUGAUCAUCCAGGCUUCUGUCUGGUGCACUCGGCAGCGUUCAGGCCAGCAUCGGUUCUGGUGGUGGGAUAAAGGCCUUGGGAAUGUAGCUUCUUUCGGGGAGUGUUAUAGCCCUCGGUGCAAUGCCGCCUAUCGGGACCGAGGACCGCGCUUCGGCUAGGAUGCUGGCGUAAUGGUUGUAAGCGACC